GAAGGACCUUGUCAAGAAGCAUUCCGAGUUCAUCAGCUAUCCGAUCUAUUUGUGGGUUGAGAAGACAUUUGAGAAAGAGAUAAGUGAUGAUGAAGAUGACGAACCUAAGAAGGAAGGUGAUGUAGAGGAAAUUGAUGAGGAGAAGGAGGCCAAGCCCAAGAAGAAGAAGGUGAAAGAGGUCUCACAUGAAUGGGAGCUUAUCAACAAGCAAAAGCCCAUCUGGCUCCGCAAGCCUGAGGAAAUCACUAAGGAAGAGUAUGCCUCCUUCUACAAAAGCCUGACCAAUGAUUGGGAGGACCAUCUUGCUGUCAAGCACUUCUCUGUGGAGGGCCAGCUUGAGUUCAAGGCCAUUCUCUUUGUCCCCAAGCGGGCACCGUUUGAUCUCUUCGACACCAGGAAGAAAUUGAACAACAUCAAGCUCUAUGUCCGGAGAGUAUUCAUUAUGGACAAUUGUGAGGAGCUCAUCCCGGAGUACCUAAGCUUUGUCAAGGGUGUUGUUGACUCAGAUGACCUCCCUCUCAACAUCUCUCGUGAGACACUUCAGCAGAACAAGAUCCUGAAGGUGAUCAGGAAGAACCUUGUGAAGAAGUGUCUUGAAAUGUUUGCUGAGAUUGCCGAGAACAAGGAGGAUUAUGCCAAGUUCUAUGAGGCCUUUUCAAAGAAUCUGAAGCUGGGAAUCCAUGAAGACAGCCAGAACAGGGCUAAGCUUGCUGACCUCCUGCGGUUCCACUCCACCAAGAGUGGGGAGGAGAUGACCAGUUUGAAGGACUAUGUGACCAGGAUGAAGGAAGGUCAGAAAGAUAUCUACUACAUUACCGGAGAGAGC
rnacentral:misc_RNA from 1 species